rnacentral:rRNA from 1 species
GACGAACGCUGGCGGCGUGCUUAACACAUGCAAGUCGAACGGAAAGGCCCUGCUUUUGUGGGGUGCUCGAGUGGCGAACGGGUGAGUAACACGUGAGUAACCUGCCCUUGACUUUGGGAUAACUUCAGGAAACUGGGGCUAAUACCGGAUAGGAGCUCCUGCUGCAUGGUGGGGGUUGGAAAGUUUCGGCGGUUGGGGAUGGACUCGCGGCUUAUCAGCUUGUUGGUGGGGUAGUGGCUUACCAAGGCUUUGACGGGUAGCCGGCCUGAGAGGGUGACCGGCCACAUUGGGACUGAGAUACGGCCCAGACUCCUACGGGAGGCAGCAGUGGGGAAUAUUGCACAAUGGGCGGAAGCCUGAUGCAGCAACGCCGCGUGCGGGAUGACGGCCUUCGGGUUGUAAACCGCUUUCGCCUGUGACGAAGCGUGAGUGACGGUAAUGGGUAAAGAAGCACCGGCUAACUACGUGCCAGCAGCCGCGGUGAUACGUAGGGUGCGAGCGUUGUCCGGAUUUAUUGGGCGUAAAGGGCUCGUAGGUGGUUGAUCGCGUCGGAAGUGUAAUCUUGGGGCUUAACCCUGAGCGUGCUUUCGAUACGGGUUGACUUGAGGAAGGUAGGGGAGAAUGGAAUUCCUGGUGGAGCGGUGGAAUGCGCAGAUAUCAGGAGGAACACCAGUGGCGAAGGCGGUUCUCUGGGCCUUUCCUGACGCUGAGGAGCGAAAGCGUGGGGAGCGAACAGGCUUAGAUACCCUGGUAGUCCACGCUGUAAACGGUGGGUACUAGGUGUGGGGUCCAUUCCACGGGUUCCGUGCCGUAGCUAACGCUUUGAGUACCCCGCCUGGGGAGUACGGCCGCAAGGCUAAAACUCAAAGGAAUUGACGGGGCCCCCCACAAGCGGCGGAGCAUGCGGAUUAAUUCGAUGCAACGCGUAGAACCUUACCUGGGUUUGACAUGGAUCGGGAGUGCUCAGAGAUGGGUGUGCCUCUUUUGGGGUCGGUUCACAGGUGGUGCAUGGCUGUCGUCAGCUCGUGUCGUGAGAUGUUGGGUUAAGUCCCGCAACGAGCGCAACCCUUGUUCACUGUUGCCAGCACGUUAUGGUGGGGACUCAGUGGAGACCGCCGGGGUCAACUCGGAGGAAGGUGGGGAUGACGUCAAGUCAUCAUGCCCCUUAUGUCCAGGGCUUCACGCAUGCUACAAUGGCUGGUACAGAGAGUGGCGAGCCUGUGAGGGUGAGCGAAUCUCGGAAAGCCGGUCUCAGUUCGGAUUGGGGUCUGCAACUCGACCUCAUGAAGUCGGAGUCGCUAGUAAUCGCAGAUCAGCAACGCUGCGGUGAAUACGUUCCCGGGGCU